rnacentral:misc_RNA from 1 species
AUAUAAUGAGACCAUAAUUUCAGUACUCAUCGCUGCCAUAACAGUUACCAUUCCUUCAAGCAUACACAAACAACAAUGUCACAAACGAAUAGCUUCACAGCCAAGACCAUAGAAUUAAUCAGUUCUAACUUGAUCGCCUGAAUUCUCAAUCAUCUUCUCUUUCAGGGGGUAGACCACAAGGCAAAAGCAUUUUCUGCAUAAAGUUGUAGCGUUCUCUUCCAAUAGACUCAUUUUCUGCAAUAGCAAAGUAUGCCAGUAUCGGGUAAUGGCCAAUAUAUGAUGCAUAGCUAUCACGCUGGAUGUUCACCGCCCACUCAA